rnacentral:tRNA from 1 species
GAUCUUUAGCUCAGUUGGUUAGAGCAACCGGCUCAUAACCGGUUGGUCCGGGGUUCGAGUCCCUGAAGGUC